GACGAAGGUGGCGAGCGUUGUUCGGAAUCACUGGGCAUAAAGCGCACGUAGGCGGCUAGGUAAGUCGGAUGUGAAAUACCUCGGCUCAACCGAGGAACUGCGUCCGAUACUGCCUGGCCUGAGGUCCGGAGGGGAGAGUGGAAUUCCCGGUGGAGCGGUGAAAUGCGUAGAGAUCGGGAAGAACGCCGGCGGCGAAAGCGACUCUCUGAUCGGAAUCUGACGCUGAGGUGCGAAAGCUAGGGGAGCAAACGGG
rnacentral:rRNA from 1 species